rnacentral:rRNA from 1 species
GACUCCCUACGGGGGGCAGCAGUGGGGAAUAUUGGGCAAUGGGCGCAAGCCUGACCCAGCAACGCCGCGUGAAGGAAGAAGGCUUUCGGGUUGUAAACUUCUUUUAUGAGGGACGAAACAAAUGACGGUACCUCAUGAAUAAGCCACGGCUAACUACGUGCCAGCAGCCGCGGUAAUACGUAGGUGGCAAGCGUUAUCCGGAUUUACUGGGUGUAAAGGGCGUGUAGGCGGGACUGGAAGUCAGAUGUGAAAAUUAUGGGUUCAACCCAUAACCUGCAUUUGAAACUGUAGGUCUUGUGUGAUGG